UACGUAGGCAGCGAGCGUUGUUCGGAGUUACUGGGCGUAAAGGGUGUGUAGGCUGGUUGUUUAAGUUUGGUGUGAAAUCUCCCGGCUCAACUGGGAGGGUGCGCCGAAAUACUGAAUGACUUGGAGUGCGGGAGAGGAGAGUGGAAUUCCUGGUGUAGCGGUGAAAUGCGUAGAUAUCAGGAGGAACACCGGUGGUGUAGACGGCUCUCUGGACCGUAACUGGACGCUGAGACACGAAAGCGUGGGUAGCAAACAGG
rnacentral:rRNA from 1 species